GUGCAGCAGGCGCGAAUUUUUCUCAAUGGGCGCAAGCCUGAAGGAGCGACGCCGCGUGGGGGAGUGAAGGGUUUCGAUCCGUAAACCCCUGUCAUUUGCGAACAAACCCUGAGGUUUAAGAGAUAUCAGGCUGAUUGUAGCGAAAGAGGAAGGGACGGCUAACUCUGUGCCAGCAGCCGCGGUAAUACAGAGGUCCCAAGCGUCGUUCGGAUUCACUGGGCGUAAAGGGUGCGUAGGUGGCUUGGUAAGUUUGAUGUGAAAUCUCCGGGCUUAACCCGGAAAUGGCAUUGAAUACUAUUGAGCUGGAGGUUUGGAGGGGGGACUGGGAAUUCUCGGUGUAGCAGUGAAAUGCGUAGAUAUCGAGAGGAACACCAGUGGCGAAGGCGAGUCCCUGGACAACACCUGACACUGAGGCACGAAAGCUAGGGGAGCAAACAGGAUUAGAUA
rnacentral:rRNA from 1 species